rnacentral:rRNA from 1 species
GAUGAACGCUGGCGGCGUGCUUAACACAUGCAAGUCGAACGGAAAGGCUCCUGCUUGCAGGGGUACUCGAGUGGCGAACGGGUGAGUAACACGUGGGUGAUCUGCCCUUCACUUCGGGAUAAGCCUAGGAAACUGGGUCUAAUACCGGAUAGGACCACCUUUUGGAUGGUGUGGUGGAAAGAUUUUCGGUGUGGGAUGAGCUCGCGGCCUAUCAGCUUGUUGGUGGGGGAAUGGCCUACAACGGCGUGGACGGGUAGCCGGCCUGUGAGGGUGUACGGCGACAGUGUGGCUGAGAGACGGGGCAGAGUCCCCUGGGGGGCAGAGGUGUGGAGUAUUGCGCAAUGGGGGCAGGCCUGAUGCGGCGACGCGGCGUGGGGGAUGACGGCCUUCGGGUUGUAAACUCCUUUCGCUAGGGUCGAAGCGUGUGUGUGACGGUACCGGGAGAAGAAGCACCGGCUAACUACGUG